rnacentral:rRNA from 1 species
GUUGUAUGGUUAAGUGACUAAGCGUACACGGUGGAUGCCUUGGCAGUCAGAGGCGAUGAAGGACGUAUUAACUUGCGAUAAGCCCAGAUUAGGUAGUAAAAACCAUUUGAGUCUGGGAUUUCCGAAUGGGGAAACCCACUAGCAUAAGCUAGUAUCGCUGCGUGAAUACAUAGCGCAGCGAGGCGAACCGGGGGAACUGAAACAUCUAAGUACCCCGAGGAAAAGAAAUCAACCGAGAUUCCGAAAGUAGCGGCGAGCGAAAUUGGACUAGCCCUUAAGCUUUUUAUGCGUCAGGUGAAACUUCUGGAAAGUUGUGCGAUACAGGGUGAUAGCCCCGUAACCGGCAACGCAUAUAAAGUGAAAUCGAGUAGGGCGGGACACGUGAUAUCCUGUCUGAAUAUGGGGGGACCAUCCUCCAAGGCUAAAUACUACUGACUGACCGAUAGUGAACCAGUACCGUGAGGGAAAGGCGAAAAGAACCCCUGUGAGGGGAGUGAAAUAGAACCUGAAACCGUGUACGUACAAGCAGUAGGAGCACCUUCGUGGUGUGACUGCGUACCUUUUGUAUAAUGGGUCAGCGACUUAUAUUCAGUGGCAAGGUUAACCAUCUAGGGGAGCCGUAGGGAAACCGAGUCUUAACUGGGCGUUCAGUCUCUGGAUAUAGACCCGAAACCAGGUGAUCUAGCCAUGGGCAGGUUGAAGGUUGAGUAACAUCAACUGGAGGACCGAACCGACUAAUGUUGAAAAAUUAGCGGAUGACUUGUGGCUAGGGGUGAAAGGCCAAUCAAACCUGGAGAUAGCUGGUUCUCCCCGAAAGCUAUUUAGGUAGCGCCUCGGACGAAUACUACUGGGGGUAGAGCACUGUUAAGGCUAGGGGGUCAUCCCGACUUACCAACCCUUUGCAAACUCCGAAUACCAGUAAGUACUAUCCGGGAGACACACGGCGGGUGCUAACGUCCGUCGUGGAGAGGGAAACAACCCAGACCGCCAGCUAAGGUCCCAAAUUACUACUAAGUGGGAAACGAUGUGGGAAGGCUCAGACAGCCAGGAUGUUGGCUUAGAAGCAGCCAUCAUUUAAAGAAAGCGUAAUAGCUCACUGGUCGAGUCGGCCUGCGCGGAAGAUGUAACGGGGCUAAGUAGUAAACCGAAGCUGCGGCAAUGCACUUUAGUGCAUUGGGUAGGGGAGCGUUCUGUAAGCGGUUGAAGGUGUGUGGUAACGCAUGCUGGACGUAUCAGAAGUGCGAAUGCUGACAUGAGUAACGAUAAAGGGGGUGAAAAACCUCCUCGCCGGAAGACCAAGGGUUCCUGUCCAACGUUAAUCGGGGCAGGGUAAGUCGACCCCUAAGGCGAGGCCGAAAGGCGUAGUCGAUGGGAAACGGGUUAAUAUUCCCGUACUUCUUACAAUUGCGAUGGGGGACGGAGAAGGCUAGGUGGGCCUGGCGACGGUUGUCCAGGUUCAAGUGCGUAGGCUUAAGAGUUAGGUAAAUCCGGCUCUUUUUAAGGCUGAGACACGACGUCGAGCUACUACGGUAGUGAAGUCAUUGAUGCCAUGCUUCCAGGAAAAGCCUCUAAGCUUCAGAUUGUAAGGAAUCGUACCCCAAACCGACACAGGUGGUCGGGUAGAGAAUACCAAGGCGCUUGAGAGAACUCGGGUGAAGGAACUAGGCAAAAUGGUACCGUAACUUCGGGAGAAGGUACGCUCUCGACGGUGAAGUCCCUUGCGGAUGGAGCUAUUGAGAGUCGCAGAUACCAGGUGGCUGCAACUGUUUAUUAAAAACACAGCACUGUGCAAAAUCGUAAGAUGACGUAUACGGUGUGACGCCUGCCCGGUGCCGGAAGGUUAAUUGAUGGGGUUAGACUUCGGUCGAAGCUCUUGAUCGAAGCCCCGGUAAACGGCGGCCGUAACUAUAACGGUCCUAAGGUAGCGAAAUUCCUUGUCGGGUAAGUUCCGACCUGCACGAAUGGCGUAAUGAUGGCCACGCUGUCUCCACCCGAGACUCAGUGAAAUUGAAAUCGCUGUGAAGAUGCAGUGUACCCGCGGCUAGACGGAAAGACCCCGUGAACCUUUACUACAGCUUGGCACUGAACAUUGACCCUACAUGUGUAGGAUAGGUGGGAGGCUUUGAAGCACAGUCGCUAGAUUGUGUGGAGCCGUCCUUGAAAUACCACCCUUGUAGUGUUGAUGUUCUAACGUUGACCCCUAAUCGGGGUUGCGGACAGUGCCUGGUGGGUAGUUUGACUGGGGCGGUCUCCUCCCAAAGCGUAACGGAGGAGCACGAAGGUGGGCUAAUCACGGUUGGACAUCGUGAGGUUAGUGCAAUGGCAUAAGCCCGCUUGACUGCGAGAAUGACGGUUCGAGCAGGUGCGAAAGCAGGUCAUAGUGAUCCGGUGGUUCUGAAUGGAAGGGCCAUCGCUCAACGGAUAAAAGGUACUCCGGGGAUAACAGGCUGAUACCGCCCAAGAGUUCAUAUCGACGGCGGUGUUUGGCACCUCGAUGUCGGCUCAUCACAUCCUGGGGCUGAAGUCGGUCCCAAGGGUAUGGCUGUUCGCCAUUUAAAGUGGUACGCGAGCUGGGUUUAGAACGUCGUGAGACAGUUCGGUCCCUAUCUGCCGUGGGCGUUGGAAGAUUGAAGGGGGCUGCUCCUAGUACGAGAGGACCGGAGUGGACGAACCUCUGGUGUUCGGGUUGUGUCGCCAGACGCAUUGCCCGGUAGCUAAGUUCGGAAUCGAUAACCGCUGAAAGCAUCUAAGCGGGAAGCGAGCCCUGAGAUGAGUCUUCCCUGAUACUUUAAGUAUCCUAAAGGGUUGUUCGAGACUAGAACGUUGAUAGGCAGGGUGUGUAAGCGUUGUGAGGCGUUGAGCUAACCUGUACUAAUUGCCCGUGAGGCUUAACCAUACAACACCCAAGGGGUUU